rnacentral:rRNA from 1 species
CCUACGGGAGACAGCAGUGGGGAAUAUUGCACAAUGGGGGAAACCCUGAUGCAGCGACGCCGCGUGAGUGAAGAAGUCUUUCUGUAUGUAAAGCUCUAUCAGCAGGGAAGAAAAUGACGGUACCUGUUUAAGAAGCCCCGGCUAACUACGUGCCAGCUGCCGUGGUAAUACGUAGGCGCAAGCGUUAUCCGGAUUUACUGGGUGUAAAGGGAGCGUAGGCGGCAGGACAAGUCUGGAGUGAAAUGCCUGGGCUUAACCCCGGAACUGCUUUGGAAACUGUGCAGCUAGAGUGCAGGAGAGGUAAGUGGAAUGCAUAGUGUAGCGGUGAAAUGCGUAGAUAUUAGGAGGAACACCAGUGGCGAAGGCGGCUUACUGGACUGUAACUGACGUUGAGGCUCGAAAGCGUGGGGAGCAAACAGGAUUAGAUACCCCAGUAGUC